CCGAAAAGUAGGCCUGAAUUCUGUUUGUUUCUCAAUAAUGAUGACUAUGGUGGUUUACUUCUGAACAAUGUUUCAUUUCCUCUUGCAACAUAACUAGCUGCAGCUUUAACUCAGUCAUGACACAAAUAGAAACUUAGCACCACCGCACAGAGCAGUCAAUGUUAUGAAACCAGAAAAUAUGUUUGGCAUGAGUUAAAUAGUGCAGUGAGUAAUAAUGCCGUCAUCUUCAUAUCCCAUAAGUGUCUUCCUCUUAUCUAUCAUUGAAGGAGGACACUCCUUCAAGCGAAACCGGAUUUUAGUUGGAAGAAUACUUUUUCAAAAGCUCCCAGACAUACCAUAUACAGCCUUAUUUGACUCGGGAAUAGGACAAUGAACAACAUUUGGCACAGUAAGUAACUUACUCAAGGAUUCAUGUCAACAAGACUAAGUUUGGAGAAGAGAACCACCCCAAGGUAAGGAAGCUGAUGAACUGUAUGGUUUCAAUCAGUUAAAUAUCUUAAAUUAUUGAUAUGUUAAACACUCAAAAUACAUAAAUGUCUUAAAAAUAUAUACGGUUUGUUACAUAGUUACUAAAUACUACGAGUUAAGAUGAAAUGACGCACAGUGACGCCAAACGUACAGGCAACGUACUGACGUAGGUUUGUGGGAAAUCCCUUUCCGUUUCCACACCGAAUACAAAACAUGGGGAAUACAUGCUUCAAUUCCAAAAAGAUCCCACAACAAUGUAAAGAAGACCAAUCUGGCACCAAGACAGAGGUGUAUUAUGAAAACCAUUUUCUUCCUUGGGAAUGGAACAUCACAGCCUUAAUUCAGAACAACCACGUGGAAUCAACUGUGCCUGUAAAUAGCACGGUGGUCCCAUUUCAGGCUGGGGUGGCAGCUGUGAAUAUACCUCAUCUAGGCUCCAUCUCAAUAGGAUCAUCUCCAGACUGUGUCCAGGAAGCUCUACCUCAUACCGACGGCUCUUCCUCACAGCAUUCACCUCAACACCAGAUUCUGCAAUGAUGCAGCCAUAACAUCAGGUAUGAAGAGCUCCAGGAGCCUUGGAAGAAGAGAUUAAGUGAAGGAAGUGGCUGCUUUUGAAACAAUUUCUGCUGCUAUUUUCUGUUGUUUUUAAGAUGUAUGUAUGUAUGUAUGUAUGUAUGUAUGUAUGUAUGUAUGUAUGUAUGUAUGUAUGUAUGUAUGUAUGUAUGUAUGUAGCUAGGCCAUGUAUGUUUUUGUAUUUAAAUAAAUAUAUGUUAUUACUUGUGCAUUGAGAUAGCAUUUAUGUUCCAAUCAAAAUCAUAAAAACACCAAGAGUGCUUUGGUGGUUCCACUCUAGUUGCAGAUAGUUUUUUCUGAUAUAUUAGUUAUCCUUCAAAAUGCUUUACAUUUGAGCAUGAACGGUGCAGCAUUUGCGUGAAUGCAGUGCAUCGAUCUAGCCAUAAUAUUAUCGCCUUGAUCACACUGACAGCGUCAUUGCCAGGAUGACCAGAGGAGGGUGACGUGUGGUCCCAACAGAUCAAACGAUCGCGGACAGCAGACGGAACAUACAGACGCCCAACUGGACACUGGGUGGGAGUGGGCUCUGUACGUAACGCCCGCUCGAUGUCCGCGUUUACCUCCCAUACCACCGGUGCCACCAGGCAAGAAGCCGGAAGUAUGGGAGUGGGAUCCGUGGACCGCUCCUCUGUGUCAUACAUCCGGGACAGUGCGUCUGCCUUAGCGUUCUGGGAACCUGGUCUGUAGGAUAGGGUGAAAACAAAACAGGUGAAAAACAUGGCCCACCUUGCCUGGCGAGGGUUCAGUCUCCUCGUCACCCGGAUGUACUCCAGAUUGCAGUGGUCAGUCCAGAUGAGGAAAGGGUGUUUAGCCCCCUCAAGCCAAUGUCUCCACGCCUUCAGAGCCUUCAGAGCCCCACAUCAUAGUUUCGCUCCGCCGGGCUGAGUUUCUUCGAAAAGAAAGCACAGGGGCGGAGCUUUGGUGGCGUACCUGAGCACCGAGACAGCACAGCUCCUAUCCCAGCCUCAGACGCGUCCACCUCUACUAUAAAUGCCAAGGAGGGAUCAGGAUGAGCCAGCACGGGAGCCGAGGUAAACAGAGCCUUCAGGUGACCAAAAGCCCUGUCCGCCCCAGCUGACCACUGCAGUCGCACCAGUCCCCCCUUCAACAAGGAGGUAAUGGGAGCCGCUACCUGACCAAAGCCUCAGAUAAACCUCCGGUAGUAGUUGGCAAACCCUAAGAACCGCUGCACCUCCUUUACCGUGGUUGGAGUCGGCCAAUUACGCACGGCUGCAAUGCGGUCAUGUUCCAUCUCCACUCCUGACGCGGAAAGGCGGUACCCUAGGAAGGAGACGGACUGUUGGAAGAACAGACAUUUCUCAGCCUUGACGUACAGGUCAUGCUCCAACAGUCGACCAAGCACCCUGCACACCAGGGACACAUGCUCGGCGCGUGUAGCGGGGUACAUUAGAAUGUCAUCUAUAUACACCACUACGCCCUGCCCGUGCAGGUCCCUGAAAAUCUCAUCUACAAAGGAUUGGAAUACUGAUGGAGCAUUCAUCAACCCGUACGGUAUGACGAGGUACUCAUAGUGCCCAGAGGUGGUACUAAAUGCCGUCUUCCACUCAUCCCCUUCCCGGAUAAACACCAGGUUGUAAGCGCUCCUGAGAUCCAAUUUUGUGAAGAAGCGCGCCCCGUGCAAUGUCUGUCACACUGGCUAUGAGUGGCAGCGGGUAACUGUACUUCACCGUGAUCUGAUUUAUACCUCGAUAGUCAAUACACGGGCGUAAACCUUCAUCUAUCUUCUUCACAAAAAAUAAACUUGAGGAGGCAGGUGAAGUGGAAGGCCGAAUGUAUCCCUGUCCUAGAGAUUCGGAGACAUAUGUUUCCAUAGCCACCGUCUCCUCCUGUGACAGAGGAUACACGUGACUCCUGGGAAGUGCUGCGUCUACCAGGAGAUUUAUCGCACAAUGCCCCCGUCGAUGGGGUGGUAGUUGAGUCUUCUUACAGAAGGCGAGAGCCAAAUCGGCAUAUUCAGGGGGGAUGUGCAUGGUGGAGACCUGGUUUGGACUCUCCACUGUAGUUGCACCUAUGGCAACACCUACGGUACACACCUCCCUGAGCACUAACGUGACCAUCCCUUGAGAGGCCUCUGUUGCUACGAAAUAUUGGGGUCAUGAUAGGUCAACCAGGGAAGGCCCAACACCACAGGAAACGCAGGAGAAUCGAUCAGGAAGAGACUAAUUCUCUCCUCAUGACCCUCCUGCGUUAUCAUACAUAGGGGAGCUGUGACCUCCCUAAUCAGCCCCGACCCUAACGGACGACUAUCUAAGGCAUGUACAGGGAAGGGCACAUCAUCAGGAACAAUAGGGAUCCCUAAUCUAAGUGCAAAUGAACGGUCAAUAAAGUUCCCAACUGCACCUGAAUCUACUAGCGCUUUAUGCUGGGAAUGCAGGGAAAACUCAGGAAAUUCUAUACACACACGUGCGCAACAGGAAGCUCUGGGUGAGUCGGGUGCCUACUCACCUGGGAUGAUCCACCAGUGCCCUGCCUGCUGCCUCGACUCCCUGGGGAACCUCCCCAGCACCGAUCAGCAGUGUGCCCUCUGUGGCCACAUGUGGUGCAGGA
rnacentral:lncRNA from 1 species